rfam:Beauveria bassiana D1-5 contig00270, whole genome shotgun sequence.
CGCGUGGUGUCUGGCGUUAGGGCUGGAAGAGCGACGCGGCCUUUACCGAGGU